UACGUAGGGGGCAAGCGUUAUCCGGAUUUACUGGGUGUAAAGGGAGCGCAGACGGCAGUGCAAGUCUGGAGUGAAAGCCCGGGGCCCAACCCCGGAACUGCUCUGGAAACUGUGCGGCUAGAGUACUGGAGGGGCAGGCGGAAUUCCUAGUGUAGCGGUGAAAUGCGUAGAUAUUAGGAGGAACACCAGUGGCGAAGGCGGCCUGCUGGAUAGUAACUGACGUUGAGGCUCGAAAGCGUGGGGAGCAAACAGG
rnacentral:rRNA from 1 species